UUUUAAUGUAUUUUCCUUUUAAGAUACAUUUUUCACUUAGAUGUUUACGUCUGCAUGUUGGCACACAGUACCAACCGAGUACAGUAACUGGGGAGUCCAGAAGAGGUCAUUAAAUUCACCUGGAGCUGAAGUUACAAAAACUGUGAUCCACACAACCUGGAUGCUGGGAAUCGAACUCCCAGACCCCUGCAAACACAGUAAAGCAUUCUUAACCACUGAGCCAUCUCAACAGCCACUAUUUGCUUGUUUUUAAAUUGUACUUUUAUCUAUCAAUUCAUGUAUCACAUAUAUGAGUGUUUUGCCUGCAUGCAGGUGUACAAUGUGUGCCCAGUGCCUGCAGAGGCCAGAAGAGGGCGUCAGAUCUCUUGGAACUGGAGUAACAGUUGAGACCAGCUAUGUGGGUGCUAAGAACUGAAACCUGGUCUGCUGACAGAGCAGUAAUUUUUCUGGGUCACUGAUUUUCUCUCAAGCCCAUUUUUUUGUUUUAGAUAUGACCUCACAUUAUAGCUCAGGCUGAUCUAAAACUAUGUAUUUCAAGCUAGCAUUGAACUCACCAGAAUCACCUUUCAUUCCCCUACGCACUGGUUUUACAAGCAUGCACCCCCAAACCCUGCUUGAAACCUCUGAAAUCCAGAUGACGACCACCAAGAACAGCUGCAGUACGGUCAACCAGAGCCUAGAGUGCUACAGAGGGCAGAGCUGGAGAUGUGAUCCAAACCCUUUGGAGGAGCCUGGAAAGUCAUGUGUAGAUCCCAGACAUUGGAACAAGAAGCUGAUCAAUCUAUACAACCUGGACCUGGAGCUUACUCUGUAGACCAGGCUGACCUCAAACUCAGAGAUUCACCUGCCUUUCCCUCCUAUGCCCUGAGUUUUUUGCUUUGUUUUUAUACUGACUUUCUAUUAGAGCUCUGUGGCAUCAAAGUUUCAAUCUUCCUCCAUUCACCUACAUAGUACUAGGGGUAGAGACUUUACCACCCAUGCCCAGAACCUGGCCUCUUAAACAAACAAAGAAACAAAAAAGCAUUUGAGCAGUGGUGGCUCAUGCUUUUAAUCCCAACACUUGAGAAACAGAGGCAGGUGGUCUACAGAAUGAGUACCAGGACAGCCAGGGCUAUACAGAGAAUUGUCUCGGGAACAAACAAACAAAAACCACCUGCAGUGGGGCUUGAUGUUGCUCAUCUCUAAUCUUAGCAUUCAGAAGACAGGUGUAGGCCUUUGUAAGUUGGAAGCCAAGGGGGUAUACAAAGAGAGUCCCAAGUCAGGUAAGGCUACACAGUGAGACCCUGUCUAAGUGUGUGCAUAUGGGGGUCAGUUAAUCAAAAAUCGUGCUCUUCAUUAAAUACCCAGAUCAUGUCAGAACCAAAACCAAUCUCUCUCUCUCUCUCUCUCUCUCUCUCUCUCUCUCUCUCUCUCUCCCUCCCUCUCCC
ensembl:lncRNA